rnacentral:rRNA from 1 species
UACGGGGGGGGCAAGCGUUGUUCGGAAUUACUGGGCGUAAAGGGCGCGUAGGCGGUCAGACCAAGUCGAGUGUGAAAUUCCAGGGCUUAACUCUGGCACGCUCGCUCGAUACUGGUCGGCUAGAGUGUGGAAGAGGAUGCUGGAAUUCCCGGUGUAGCGGUGAAAUGCGUAGAUAUCGUAAGGAAGACCGGUGGCGAAGGCGGAUCUCUGGACAGUUACUGACACUGAGGCACGAAGGCCAGGGGAGCAAACGGG